rnacentral:rRNA from 1 species
AGGGUGGAAUUUCCUGGGUGUAAGGUGAAAUUCCGUAGAGAUCUGGAGGAAUACCGGUGGCGAAGGCGGCCCCCUGGACAAAACUGACCUCAAGUGCGAAAGCGUGGGGAGCAAACAGGAUUAAUACCUGGUAGUCCAGCUGUAACGAUGUGGACUUGGAGGUGGGUUCCUUGAGGGUGGCUUCGGAGCUAAAGCCUUUGUCACCCCCCGGGGAGUACGGCCGCAAGGUUAAAAAUCAAAUGGAUUUACCGGGGCCCCCCCAAACGGGGGAAAAUGGGGGUUAAAUCCAAUCAACCCGGAAAAACUUACCCAGGCUUUACCACCAAAGAGAUCGCUAGAGAUAUCUUGGCGCCCUCGGGGACUCUGAGACAGGGGCGGCAUGGUUGUCGUCACCUCGUGUUGGGGAAUGUUGGGUUAGUUCCCGCACCAAACGCAACCCUAAUCCUUUGUUGCCAACCCUUAAGGGGGGGAAUUCAAAGAAAACUGCCGGUGACAAACCGGAGAAGGGGGGGAUGAUGUAAUUCUUCAUGGCCCUUUGUAGUGGGGCUACACCGUGCUACAAUGGCGUUAUACAAAGGGUGAGGAAACCCCACGAGAGAAACCAAACCCUCAUAAAGUACG